GACGAACGCUGGCGGCGUGCCUAAUACAUGCAAGUAGAACGCUGAAGAGAGGAGCUUGCUCUUCUUGGAUGAGUUGCGAACGGGUGAGUAACGCGUAGGUAACCUGCCUUGUAGCGGGGGAUAACUAUUGGAAACGAUAGCUAAUACCGCAUAACAAUGGAUGACACAUGUCAUUUAUUUGAAAGGGGCAAUUGUUCCACUACAAGAUGGACCUGCGUUGUAUUAGCUAGUAGGUGAGGUAAUGGCUCACCUAGGCGACGAUACAUAGCCGACCUGAGAGGGUGAUCGGCCACACUGGGACUGAGACACGGCCCAGACUCCUACGGGAGGCAGCAGUAGGGAAUCUUCGGCAAUAGGGGCAACCCUGACCGAGCAACGCCGCGUGAGUGAAGAAGGCUUUCGGAUCGUAAAGCUCUGUUGUAAGUCAAGAACGGGUGUGAGAGUGGAAAGUUCACACUGUGACGGUAGCUUACCAGAAAGGGACGGCUAACUACGUG
rnacentral:rRNA from 1 species